rnacentral:tRNA from 1 species
GUGAGCGUAGCUCAGUUGGUUAGAGCGUCGGAUUGUGGUUCCGAAGGUCGGGGGUUCGAUCCCCCUCGCUCACCCCA